rnacentral:rRNA from 1 species
UACGUAGGGGGCGAGCGUUGUCCGGAGUUACUGGGCGUAAAGCGCUUGUAGGCGGUCCACCAAGUGUGGGGUGACAGUUGCCGACUUAAUCGGCAAAGUGCCUCAAAGACUGGCGGACUUGAGGGCCACAGAGGGACAUGGAACUCCAGGUGUAGUGGUGAAAUGCGUAGAUAUCUGGAAGAACACCAAAGGCGAAGGCAGUGUCCUGGGUGGUCGCUGACGCUGAGAGGCGAAAGCCAGGGGAGCGAACGGG